rnacentral:rRNA from 1 species
UAAUCACUUGUCUCUUAAAUGGGGACCUGUAUGAAUGGCUUUUCACUCUUUCACUGUCUCUCUUCCCUCCCUCCUAAUCUUCUAAUCACGUGAAGAAGCGUGAACAAAUAAGAAAGACGAGAAGACCCUGUCGAGCUUAAGCUAACCCUGAAAUGUCGUCUACCUUUUUUCUUAGAAAGAGGUAAAUUUCAGAUAAAGUUUUGGUUGGGGCAACCGUGGAGAAAAAGAAUCCUCCAGUUAGUUAGGAAGAAAACCUUUCACCUAAAAAAUUUAGCGACCCAGUUACUCUGGUAAACGGAAAAAGUUACCGCAGGGAUAACAGCGUUAUCUUCUCCAAGAGCCCAUAUUGACGAGAAGGAUUGCGACCUCGAUGUUGGAUUGGGGUAACC